AACUUUUGACAACGGAUCACUUGGCUCUCGCAUCGAUGAAGAACGCAGCGAAAUGCGAUACGUAAUGUGAAUUGCUUUCCGUGAAUCAUCGAAUCUUUGAACGCAUAUUGCACUCGAUUAGAGUAUGCCUGUUUGAGAAUCUAUAGUAAAUCUUAUUUGAUGUAUGAAAAUACUUGAGAAUAGAUAUGAAGUUUCCCUCCUCUUAUGGAGAAGGGUACUUUGAAAUAGAUUGCUCGUGAAUUUUAGGAAAAUGUUGAUAUUCCUCAAAACCUUGCAGAAACGUAUGUGAAUGGAACUUUGGUUUCUCAUAAUGCUUAAUAUCCAAGAGAGGGAAGGAGUUUGAAUAAGUUUGUGAGUUCUUAACCAUAAAUUGUUGUGCAAACAGCAAUUUGAACACAUGGUCUCAAAUCAGGUAGGAAGACCCGCUGAACUUAAGCAUAUCAAUAAGCGGAGGCU
rnacentral:misc_RNA from 1 species